rnacentral:rRNA from 1 species
GAUGAACGCUGGCGGCGUGCCUAAUACAUGCAAGUCGAGCGAACAGACGAGGAGUUUGCUCCUCUGACGUUAGCGGCGGACGGGUGAGUAACACGUGGAUAACCUACUUAUAAGACUGGGAUAACUUCGGGAAACCGGAGCUAAUACCGGAUAAUAUAUUGAACCGCAUGGUUCAAUAGUGAAAGACGGUUUUGCUGUCACUUAUAGAUGGAUCCGCGCCGCAUUAGCUAGUUGGUAAGGUAACGGCUUACCAAGGCGACGAUGCGUAGCCGACCUGAGAGGGUGAUCGGCCACACUGGAACUGAGACACGGUCCAGACUCCUACGGGAGGCAGCAGUAGGGAAUCUUCCGCAAUGGGCGAAAGCCUGACGGAGCAACGCCGCGUGAGUGAUGAAGGUCUUCGGAUCGUAAAACUCUGUUAUUAGGGAAGAACAAAUGUGUAAGUAACUAUGCACGUCUUGACGGUACCUAAUCAGAAAGCCACGGCUAACUACGUG